rnacentral:ribozyme from 11 species
CUGACUACAUACAUGUAUAUAUAUAUAAAGCUCCUCACAGACGUUUCAACAGGAAAAGUGUUGAAUCAAGAUGAAUCUCCCCCCCUAAAGCUCAUAUCAAGUACUUGAUACGCACGAGGUUUGUCCCCCUACACUCGUGUACACUCUUAUA